AAGCUAAAGAAUAUAUUGCUACGUUUGAGCUCCUCUUUGUGAGGCCAGUAAAUGCUGUCCCAUUUCUCAGAGUCGAUUUCAGUAAAACAUCAAUGACACUUAUUAUGGAAUUUCCAGGAACUUAAGUGCUACUUACAAGUAAUAUACCAGUAGGGAGGUAGCAAGAUAUCUAUCUAUAGAACCAUGUUUCUGCCAUACUAAUGGACAAACAAAGCAAAAAAUCUUUAAAAUAAUUCCAAUCACACGCAUAUCAGGUGACAUUGCCCACACACUUAGUUGUCUCCCUGCCUCAGAAUGCGCAGGAUGGUCAAGAACAGGUUCAGAACAUCCAGGUACAGAGUGACAGAUGCCCAGAUGUAUUCAUCAUAUGUAAACCUCUUAAUCAGGUUGUCUGUGUCAUAUAUAAUGUAUCCACAGAAAAUUAUAGCACUCAUUGCACUGUAAACAGCACUAGUUGUAGAUCCGAGAGGGAAGAACAUCUGCAUAAAUCCAGUCAGGAUAAGUACAAAGAGGCUAGUAAAGAGUAUUGGACCCAGGAAGCUGAAGUCCUUGCCCUUCUUAGAAGCCCAGAAUGUGUAACCGGUCAAAGCUGAAACUACAGCUGAUGUCAAGAGUAAAGCUUCAAGCACAAUUCUUCCAUCGGUAUUAGCACAGGUCACACCCACUGUGAGACUCAAAGAAGCAGUGAAGAGGCCAAGGAAAAUAAAAUUCAAUGGAUGCUUCUGCUGGUAUAUGUGCAAGGGCCACAACAGAACGAAUGGAAGGAAAAUGAGGAAGAGAAGAAGGCCAGGACUUCCACGAAGGAGAUCGUUGAUCGGCGUAUAAAGUACAGUCACGGCGGAUACAAGGGUGGUGAGAAGGAUCUGAGCAGCGAGAAUCCCAUAAACUUUACGAAUAAAACCCCAACGCAAUUGAUUCUCACCAUAUCCAAGACCUGGAUACAAGGUUCCUUCCUCUAUAUCACCUUUGAUUCCUCCAUCACUCUCCGUCCUCAAACUCGUGAAUCCGUACAUUUUCUCUCUCUCUCUCUGCAACUGCAAUGAAUAAGGUUUGUUGCGGUGGAAUAGAGAAGAAAGAGUAUUAUUCCUCAAUUUUUUUGGAUAAUUCCAAUUAAGAAAAUAAUAAGUAAGAAGUUU
rnacentral:misc_RNA from 1 species